GACGAACGCUGGCGGCGUGCUUAACACAUGCAAGUCGAGCGGUAAGGCCCUUUCGGGGGUACGACGAGCGGCGAACGGGUGAGUAACACGUGGGUGACCUGCCCUCAGCUCUGGGAUAAGCCUGGGAAACUGGGUCUAAUACUGGAUAUGACUCCACGGUGCAUGUCGUGGGGUGGAAAGCCUUGUGCGGCUGAGGAUGGGCCCGCGGCCUAUCAGCUUGUUGGUGGGGGAUGGCCUACCAAGGCGACGACGGGUAGCCGGCCUGAGAGGGCGACCGGCCACACUGGGACUGAGACACGGCCCAGACUCCUACGGGAGGGCAGCAGUGGGGAAUCUUGCGCAAUGGGCGAAAGCCUGACGCAGCGACGCCGCGUGAGGGAUGACGGCCUCGGUG
rnacentral:rRNA from 1 species